rnacentral:piRNA from 1 species
UGAGCCGCUGGGGCAGAGGAUCACGGACC